CGUUGAAAAGGCGGCGGAUGAAUUGUGGGUAGCGGAGAAAUUCCAAUCGAACUCGGAGAUAGCUGGUUCUCCCCGAAAUAGCUUUAGGGCUAGCCUCAUAUUAGAUACCCGGAGGUAAAGCACUGAAUGGCCUAGCGCCCGAGAGGGUAGCGAAGCCUAUCAAACUAAGAAUGCCGGAGUAUUGAUGUAUGGGAGUCAGACAGUGUGAGAUAAAUCUCAUUGUCAAAAGGGAAACAGCCCAGAUCUACAGCUAAGGUCCCAAAUUGUAUCUAAGUGGAAAACGAUGUGGAAAUACGCAGACAACCAGGAUGUUGGCUCAGAAGCAGCCACUCAUUUAAAGAGUGCGUAAUAGCUCACUGGUCGAGCGUCUCUGCGCGGAAAAUUUAACGGGGCUAAGAUACAAACCGAAGCUUAGGCUGCAUCGUAAGAUGCGGGGUAGGGGAGCGUUGUGUAAGCGGAGAAACAGUAGCGUAAGCGGCUGUGGAGUUUACAGAAGUGAGAAUGCCGGAAUGAGUAGCGCGAAUGUGGUGAGAAUCCACAUGGCCGGAAACCUCAGGUUUUUGGAGGAAGGUUCGUCCGCUCCAAGUUAGGCGGGAGCUAAGGUCAGGCCGAAAGGCGUAGCCGAUGCACAGACGGUAGAGAUUCCGUCCCCACCGAAAGAUUUAAGCACAGGGACACUUUUUGAAGGUCGGAGCCAGGUGUUGGUUCUGGUAGUGAUCGAGGGAAAUAUAGUACCGAAGUCCGGCUGGAAGAGAGGCGAGAAAAGCUGUGUGUAUAUCUAAGCCCGUACCGCAAACCGACACAGGUAGGUAGGAAGAAGAUUCUAAGGCCAACGGGAGAAGGGUUGUUAAGGAACUCGGCAAGUUGACCCCGUAACUUCGGGAGAAGGGGUGCUCAUGAAAGUGAGCCGCAGAGAAUAGGCCCAAGCAACUGUUUAGCAAAAACACAGGUCUGUGCUAAAUCGAAAGAUGACGUAUACGGGCUGACACCUGCCCGGUGCUGGAAGGUUAAGGGGAUGUGUGCAAGCACUGAACCGAAGCCCCAGUAAACGGCGGCCGUAACUAUAACGGUCCUAAGGUAGCGAAAUUCCUUGUCAGGUAAGUUCUGACCCGCACGAAUGGUGUAAUGAUUUGGGCACUGUCUCAACAGCCCGCCCGGCGAAAUUGUAGUACCGGUGAAGAUGCCGGUUUCCCGCGACAAGACGGAAAGACCCCAUGGAGCUUUACUGCAGCCUAAUAUUGGGUUUCGAUAUUACAUGUACAGGAUAUGUGGGAGACAUGGAAGCACGGGCGUCAGCCUGUGUGGAGUCAGCCUUGGGAUACCACACUUGUGAUAUUGGAAUUCUAACCUGCGGCCCUGAAUCGGGUCGGGGGACAUUGUUAGGCGGGCAGUUUGACUGGGGCGGUCGCCUCCGAAAAAGUAACGGAGGCGUUCAAAGGUUGGCUCAGCUUGGACGGAAACCAAGCCAAAGAGUGCAAACGCAUAAGCCAGCCUAACUGCGAGACUGACGGGUCGAGCAGUAACGAAAGUUGGAGUUAGUGAUCCGGCGGUAUGUGAGUGGAAAUGCCGUCGCUCAACGGAUAAAAGUUACCCUGGGGAUAACAGGCUGAUCUCCCCCAAGAGUCCACAUCGACGGGGAGGUUUGGCACCUCGAUGUCGGCUCAUCGCNNNNNNNNNNNNNNNNNNNNNNNNNNNNNNNNNNNAAGGGUUUGGCUGUUCGCCAAUUAAAGCGGUACGCGAGCUGGGUUCAGAACGUCGUGAGACAGUUCGGUCCCUAUCUGUCGUGGGCGCAGGAUAUUUGAGUGGAGCUGUCCCUAGUACGAGAGGACCGGGAUGGACGCACCUCUGGUGCACCAGUUGUCACGCCAGUGGCACAGCUGGGCAGCUAAGUGCGGAUCGGAUAAACGCUGAAAGCAUCUAAGCAUGAAGCCGACCACAAGAUAAGAUAUCCCACUGGGUUAACCAGGUAAGACCCCUUGAAGACUACAAGGUAGAUAGGCUCAAAGUGUAAGUGUGGCGACACAUUCAGCUUGUGAGUACUAAUCGGUCGAGGGCUUGACCA
rnacentral:rRNA from 1 species